GCUUCAGUGGCUUGGGAGCCUUCGCAUCCGGCUGUCGGUCGGUCAUGUUGCUGGAAACUAACGAUUUUUGGCUGUCACUCAAAUGUAUUUGUUGCAGAGGCCUACCAAGCCGACUGCUUUCUUAGUGGGUGGACUUUCUCAAAUAUUUGCCGGCCUCAGCGCAAAUUGGACAUAUCGACCGGUGUGGCUCAGUGCAGACUGGCGUGAAUUAUGGAACCCGGGCAGAUCGAGCUGAUGGAGAUUUCAUUUGCAACCGGCCACCAAUGAACCGGUUUUCGUGGAGAGAGAGCUCCAGUCGGUGGCAGCGUGAAAAGUUGGAGCUCGAAGAAAUAGAAGCCGGCGGGGUUGGGGGCAUUAGCACUCGGGGGCCACUUGAAUCCACCGCCAAAAUGGCAUUUGAAAAUAGAAAUAGAAAUAGGAGUACGGCCUCCAUGCGCCGCUGCAGUUUGUCAGCCCAAAAGGCCAAGAGACUGGGACUAAGACGCUAAACUUUUACUCUUUAAGUAGGUAAAUGAAGUUGGCUGCCUGGUUAAUUGAAGGAAGGUGCGCCCGGGGACCCGGCCCGAUGAUGCUGGGAUCUAGCUGGCAGAUUAAGCCAUUGUCUGCCCGCAGAUAAACGAACGAGCCCCAGUUACCCAUUAAGAUGGCUUAAUUAAGGAAGCAUUGCCAUUGCCUCAGUGAAAGUUGAACCGGCGACGGAGAGAGAGAGACGAAGGUCUGAGAUUUCUGGUCGGAGAUUCCGGCCAAAGUUCCCACGGCAACGACAACCUGUCUGGCGGAGGCACUUUGCGCAAUCGUCAGUGGCUGGCAAAAUUGCAAAAUGUCACAACAAUUGCAAAUAAAUUAUAUAUGCAAAUUGGAUGGCCAAUGCAUGGAAUAACCACUGACAAAACGUAGCGUUAUAAUACGAUCGCCACAUGCUAAAUCUGGCAAUGCACAAAGCACCCACUUGGGAGCUUACCAAUGCCAUUGUCUGCACUCAUGAUCUUUGAAUGUUGUCCUGCUCAUUUCAACGGCCGUUUGCGAUUAACAUAUUUACACUUAUAUAGAAUAUAUCUUUCUGUACCGUGAGACAAAA